CAGCUUUCUCCUCGAACCAUCGUCAUGAACCAAUCAACUAUUUGAGAAUUAAAGAUGCGUUGCAGGAAAAUGAUGGGGCAACAUAUAAUGAGGAGUGGCAGGUUGUAACAGAAUUAGAAGCAGCAGAUUCAUAAAGUAUGGGUGCAGGCAGCAUCAAUUGGCAAAUGUUAAGUAAGCCGUAACCUUCUCUCUUUUUCCUGCUCGGUGAUAUGCGCAUGGUUGCAGCUACUGUACUGAAUACAGAAGAAACAUGAGCAUGGUAGAUACUGAUUACAAAAGGUUUCUUCGUUUUUUCAUGUUGGAGACAGUGACAGUACCUUACCGAUUAAAUUACAUUCUUUCCUAUUAGAAAGUAGUGUAUACUCUCUAGCUACUUAAUGUUCUGUUUCUUGGUUGUAGUUUAUUUACCAUUUGUAACUUCAAAAUGUUAUGUCAGACAUGCUCUAAUUUUUUAUGCCAUCAGAGAUUUCAGCUCAUAUUACUUCCUUUAUGCUUAUGGUUGGGUAGUGAUGCUUUACUGAUUAGGUAUUCUCAUCAUAUCUCAAUCUACUGUUACAAAUAUUAUUUGAUUUCUUUCUCUCAUAAACAGGGCACAAGUUGCCCCUUCUAAUUGAUAUGUGUUGUAUCUACAUGGUGCAGUGGUGUGUUUUGUAGAAUAUGUACAGUCGCACUUUGUUGUAUCUAUAUUGUUGUUGGUCCUUGAUUUAAUCUGGUUAUAAGAGUAAGUCGCACUUUGACCCGCUCCCCGCAAUGGUUGAAUGGCUUGUUUUAAUUUGCUGUGACACUACUACUUCUAUUUUUUCGCAAGUUACCAUUUGCAGCUAUUUGUUCUUACAUGCUACAAAUAAUAAUGCUACAAGAUUUUUGUUGAUAGUUUUUUAGUAGAUAAUGCUGGAUUGUUCAUGUAAAGAGUGAUCGAGGUGCUAUGUCCUAGAAGUAACCUACUGAUUUGUUUGCUGGUGCUACUCGCAUGUACCGUGUUGUUGGGUUCUUCCUUACACACGCGAUUCUGAGCGAUCUAUGCUUCACCUCUGCCGCGUGUGGCCGCACUGGUCAUGCUCCUGCUGGUUGAGCUCCUUCCCCUCUUAUGUUCAUGUACCAUUUUGUAGGACUGGCUAGCAAAAAUGCCUUGGGUUUCUUCUUGUGCAGCAGAUUCUUAGGUAGCUAGGUUCCAGAGGAGGACUUUUGGGGGGCUUUCUUGUUUUGUUGGUGCCUUGCCGUCAAGUAGGUCCUUGGAUUUAGCUAGGCUAUCUGUUUUAUUGCUUGGUUUUCUGCCUGUUAAAGAGAAGCUUAGGUCUAUAUAGAUUCUUGAGGUAAUAUACAUGGUUUCUCAUAGUUUAGUUACAUAUGAUUUCUGGGUUCUGACUCCUUCAUGUUAUUUUCAUUAUUUCUCCUCUUUGUACCAUCGUUUAUUUCAAUUUUCGACAUAAGGACAGCUUUGGUGGCUUCAAAAUAUGCAUGACCAUAUUUACUUGCGCUUUUUUUAUAUAUGAUUGCUGUUAGAUUCUUCUAGAAACUUUGUUGUUACAUUAGCGGUCUAGCUAGAUUGCAAGGAAGGGGCUGUAUCUUUCCUUGCUUUGUUUGUUUGAUCCUGGACGCCUUGUUUGAUCCUGGUAGAUGGGUGUCAGUAGGUGAACUAAUUGAUUCUGAUUUCAUAGGAUUGUGCAUGCUUCUCUUGUGGGCAUUCUUUUCAUUAUAUUAUUAGUUUUAUCCUGCUCCUGAUUUUGCUAUUGGCUGCGUUUUUCGGUUAGUGUCCUGUUGUUGAUCGGUGAUAUGUCGCUGAUUGUUGCUGCCGCUCGGUUGAUAAGUUACAAUUCAUGUUUUUUCUACCCCUACUUGUUUGUGAGGAGACAGUGCUCGGAGGAGGCUGGACGCAUGGGGCAACUCGCGGAAAAGGCCGGACACAUGGAGGUAGCGUGUCGAGCUCAGUUGCAGCGACGAGCUGUGCUACUGCCUCGGCUGCAACCUCAUAGCAGGAAUCCUCCAUGGAUGAGGACGACCACCGGUACCUACACAAUGAUGUCACGCCCCGCACAUGGCCGAGCUGGACGGAACAACGAUGCCUUGGUCGGACGCCAUGGUCGCGGGUGGCCUCCUCCGUUGCUCCCCAUUCGAUAUGGAGCUUGCAUGCUAUUUCGAAGAACUCUUUUAAGGGGGCAUUGUAUGAUGUGCUAUGGAAGUAAAGGAUUAAGUUUGAGGCCUCCCCUUAUAUGUAGGGAAAAAAAUCAUUGUUAUGCAUUAUUCUUAGUGGCAAUGCUUCUGCAAAUCAACUUAUUCUAGAUGCUGGUGUCGUGAUGGUGGUUCACCCCUUACAUGUUGGAUAAUUCUACAUUUUCUGGAAAGAAUAAAAGAUUUUAUGGAUCU